rnacentral:rRNA from 1 species
UACAGAGGUCUCAAGCGUUGUUCGGAUUCAUUGGGCGUAAAGGGUGCGUAGGCGGUGAAGUAAGUCAGGUGUGAAAUCCCGGAGCUCAACUCCGGAACUGCACUUGAUACUGCUUUGCUAGAGUACUGGAGAGGAGACUGGAAUUUACGGUGUAGCAGUGAAAUGCGUAGAGAUCGUAAGGAAGACCAGUGGCGAAGGCGAGUCUCUGGACAGUUACGUGACGCUGAGGCACGAAGGCCAGGGGAGCAAACGGG